CUGCUGGCUUAGUGGAUAGAUCUGAUGUAGCGCUAUUUCCUUGUCUCUUAACGACGUCUAAAUGGACCGCCUAGGUUAGCAGUUAUCUCCGUGAGUGUGCAUCUCUCCGUCUGUCCACCAUUUUUGAUCCUUUUUUACUUCCAAAGACGCCUUUGUUCCUCCUCCUAUUCGCCUUCAAAGAUGUGGCCCCAAUUGCGUCAGGCGGGGACCCGGAAAACGGCCAAGCCGUCUGCGACUCACCGAGCCGCGAGGCCGAUCAAGGCGGCCGGCGACUUGGCGAGGCCGCGUCGGUCGCUGUCGCCAGAUGCGUCGACUCGAGCGAGGUCAAUCAGGGUUCAAGCGCCGUUCGAUCCCCGGAGAAGAGGAAAUCGUGAACAAAGAGACCCAAACAUCUAUUUGCUGGGCUAUUGAGAGUUUGCAGGGACAUGGCGACUGUUCAUGAAG
ensembl:lncRNA